rnacentral:rRNA from 1 species
UAUGUGAUCGUCUCUCGCAUAUCAAUAAGCGGAGGAAAAGAAACUAACAAGGAUUCCCCUAGUAACGGCGAGUGAAGCGGGAAGAGCUCAAAUUUGAAAUCUUAAAGGGUUUCCCUUUACGAAUUGUAGUUUAAAGAAGUGUUUUCUGUUGAGGUUUUGGUAAAAGUUCUUUGGAAUAGGACAUCAUAGAGGGUGAGAAUCCCGUAUUUGACCUUUACUUUCAACUUUGUGAUACACUUUCAAAGAGUCGGAUUGUUUGGGAAUGCAGUCCAAAAUGGGUGGUAAAUUUCAUCUAAAGCUAAAUAUUGGCGAGAGACCGAUAGCGAACAAGUACCGUGAGGGAAAGAUGAAAAGAACUUUGAAAAGAGAGUUAAACAGUACAGUGAAAUUGUCAAAAGGGAAGCGUUUGACACCAGUGUUGUUUUUCUGAAAAUCAAUUAAAGAACUGUUUAUGCUAAGCUGUUUAGACUUUAUCAGCUAUCUGUUUAGUUUUGAGCUUUUCUUUAAUGCACUUUUCAGUUAACAAGUCAACAUCAAUUUCUUUUGCUGUAAAAAAGCUUGAGGAAGGUGGCUUGAGAUUCGUCUUAAGUGUUUAUAGCCUCUUGCCUAUGCAGUCGGAGAGAUUGAGGUCUGCAGCGUAGAUCCUUCGGGGCUAAAUGCAUUUGUGCUAAGUUAUAGCAUUUUAUAGACAACUUGUUGACUAUGAUUUGUCUUGUAGCUUACUCGCUUAUGUUAUUUUACCUACGCUUAGGAUGUUGAAGUCAUCGUAUCGCGC